rnacentral:rRNA from 1 species
ACACAUGCAGUCGAGCGGAUGACAGGAGCUUGCUCCUGAAUUCAGCGGCGGACGGGUGAGUAAUGCCUAGGAAUCUGCCUAGUAGUGGGGGACAACGUUUCGAAAGGAACGCUAAUACCGCAUACGUCCUACGGGAGAAAGCAGGGGACCUUCGGGCCUUGCGCUAUCAGAUGAGCCUAGGUCGGAUUAGCUAGUUGGUGAGGUAAUGGCUCACCAAGGCGACGAUCCGUAACUGGUCUGAGAGGAUGAUCAGUCACACUGGAACUGAGACACGGUCCAGACUCCUACGGGAGGCAGCAGUGGGGAAUAUUGGACAAUGGGCGAAAGCCUGAUCCAGCCAUGCCGCGUGUGUGAAGAAGGUCUUCGGAUUGUAAAGCACUUUAAGUUGGGAGGAAGGGCAUUAACCUAAUACGUUAGUGUUUUGACGUUACCGACAGAAUAAGCACCGGCUAACUCUGUGCCAGCAGCCGCGGUAAUACAGAGGGUGCAAGCGUUAAUCGGAAUUACUGGGCGUAAAGCGCGCGUAGGUGGUUUGUUAAGUUGGAUGUGAAAUCCCCGGGCUCAACCUGGGAACUGCAUUCAAAACUGACAAGCUAGAGUAUGGUAGAGGGUGGUGGAAUUUCCUGUGUAGCGGUGAAAUGCGUAGAUAUAGGAAGGAACAC